UUUCAAAAGAUCAAGAAUCGCUUAUAGAUUUGAAUCUGAGUAACCGCUGGCCUCACCCAGACGAUACACUCCUCAAGUCGUUAGACUCAACUCAAAUCUACAAGCUACCUCCUUUCUUAGCCAACAAGUUGGCUUUAUACAAUUCGAAUACAAAGCAUUAGAAAGACUCUAAUUCAAAACAAGUAUCUCCUUCUUUAUUUGAAUUAUCUUCCGCCACGUCAGACUCCAACGGCUUCCUUCUCUCCCGUCUUC